GUGACCACAGAAUUCAUUUUUCUGCACUGUUUUAAUAAAAAGAGUUUUUCACUUCAGGGUUUGUAAAGGAGGCGUAUACAAGCGUGGAUAUUUUUUAUUAAAGAAGAUAAAAAAUGACAACAAAAGCUUGAGAAAGAAUCACACAGGUCCUGAAACAGGUGUGUGUCAGACAGGGUCAUGUGAUCAUCACGUGGCAUCACCAUGACAACCUCCAGGUUACAUGGUAGUUAAAGCUGUAACUAAGUGACCCACACAUAUGUACCACAUGAUAUAAAAAAAACAACAACAAAAAACAACAGAAGAGAAAAUAAAAAAGAGAACGUCAGCUCGUCACAUGAACCAUUCUUACAAGCCUGACUCCAGUUCAUCAAAUUCCAAAGCUGUUGUGUUUAACAUUUAGUGAAGACUGACAGAGACUUCUGCAGAAAAGCCUUUCGGUAACAUCUGCUGUCAUGGAAACAGGAAAAGCGCUGGGUUUUGUACAACAGGUCCCGCAUAUACACAGCCUUGGAUUAUCACCAUGCUGUAACGUUUCCUCUACAGAAGAUGGACUGAAUCAUUUGGAGCCGUACAGUAGAGAUGGACUCGGGAGACUGAUCAGAAAUACCGGCUGUUGUAGCUGAAGUUCUCAGAAGAUCAGGCUGAAAACUUACUAAAGUCUUCAGUUACUAAAAGUCACCAACUCCAUAUCAUCACACUACCAACACUGUGUGCACUUCGGACCAGACAUAACAUCUUCCAAAAACCUCCAAACGUGAUGAGAACAAUGCUCUCUGGACUCGUGAGUCGAACAUGUCGAACACGGAACUAUUUUAUGGUUUCACCUAAGGGGUGGUUUUCAGAUUGAGUCUUUAAAGGAGGCAUUUAAUUUUUCAUACAUGGCCAGCUGGUGAUGGAGAACUUUUUAAUUCAACUCAGGUUGUCUUUGUCUUAUAAAAAUUAGUUUAAAUAUCUGAAUUGUAACGAAUACUCAAAAAUAAAAAUGGAGUACUUUU